rnacentral:rRNA from 1 species
AUUGAACGCUGGCGGCAUGCCUUACACAUGCAAGUCGAACGGUAACGGGCCUUCGGGUGCCGACGAGUGGCGAACGGGUGAGUAAUGCAUCGGAACGUACCUUUCAGUGGGGGAUAACGUAGCGAAAGUUACGCUAAUACCGCAUAUCCUGUGAGCAGGAAAGCAGGGGAUCGCAAGACCUUGCGCUGAUUGAGCGGCCGAUGUCAGAUUAGCUAGUUGGUGAGGUAAAGGCUCACCAAGGCGACGAUCUGUAGCGGGUCUGAGAGGAUGAUCCGCCACACUGGAACUGAGACACGGUCCAGACUCCUACGGGAGGCAGCAGUGGGGAAUUUUGGACAAUGGGGGGCAACCCUGAUCCAGCCAUGCCGCGUGAGUGAAGAAGGCCUUCGGGUUGUUAAAGGACUCUUUCGGUCCGGGAACGGAAA